rnacentral:rRNA from 1 species
GUCGAGAAUAAUUCACAAUGGACGAAAGUCUGAUGGUGCAACGCCGCGUGGAGGAUGACGGUCUUCGGAUUGUAAACUCCUGUCAUCCGGGAGUAAGACCUGGCAGUGAAUAGCAGACAGGGUUGAUAGUACCGGAAGAGGAAGGGACGGCUAACUUCGUGCCAGCAGCCGCGGUAAUACGAAGGUCCCGAGCGUUGUUCGGAAUCACUGGGCGUAAAGGGAGCGUAGGCGGCGUGGUAAGUCAGAUGUGAAAUCCCGGGGCUCAACCCCGGAACUGCAUCCGAUACUGCCGUGCUAGAGGAUUGGAGAGGUAGCUGGAAUUCUUGGUGUAGCAGUGAAAUGCGUGGAGAUCAAGAGGAACACUCGUGGCGAAAGCGAGCUACUGGACAAUAUCUGACGCUGAGGCUCGAAGGCCAGGGUAGCGAAAGGGAUUAGAUACCCUGGUAGUCC